rnacentral:rRNA from 1 species
GACGAACGCUGGCGGCGUGCCUAAUACAUGCAAGUCGAACGAACCGCGACUAAGUGCUUGCACUAAGUCAAGGAGAGUGGCGAACGGGUGAGUAACACGUGGGUAACCUACCUCAUAGUGGGGGAUAACAGUCGGAAACGACUGCUAAUACCGCAUAGGACAUAGGAUCACAUGAUCCAGUGAGGAAAGGUGGCGCAAGCUAUCGCUAAGAGAUGGACCCGCGGUGCAUUAGCUAGUUGGUAGGGUAAAGGCCUACCAAGGCGAUGAUGCAUAGCCGACCUGAGAGGGUGAUCGGCCACAUUGGGACUGAGACACGGCCCACACUCCUACGGGAGGCAGCAGUGGGGAAUCUUCCGCAAUGGACGCAAGUCUGACGGAGCAACGCCGCGUGAGUGAAGAAGGUCUUCGGGUCGUAAAGCUCUGUUGUUAGAGAAGAACAGCGCAUAGAGUAACUGCUAUGCGUGUGACGGUAUCUACACAGAAAGCCACGGCUAACUACGUG